CCCGCCGCAGGUGCCACCUCGGGCAUCCCCCGCGCCCCUUCCCCAGCCCCUGCAGGCGAUGCGGAGCCCGCAGGAGAGCGACCAUGGAAGGGUUUAUUUAGCACACGAAAUACGAAAUGAGGGGCAGAGCGGCGGAGGUGCGGACGGGGCGGACGCCGCGCGGCCAAGAUGGAGUCCAGAGGUUAAGAAGAGCCCAGCACACAUGGAUAUGGAUAACAGGAACAUCUUUUAGUGGAUUAGACAAAAUAAAAAUGAAGCUCCUGCUAUUUCAACAGCUGCAUCGGGGCUGAAUGGAAGCUCCCCAAAAUAUGGCAAAAAAAUUAACAACUCACCAGCAGUGAUUUUUUUGCUUCUCUCUCUGUAAUCUGCAGUGGUGACUGGGGAGGGAAGAGGACUCUGAGCUGGGCAGACCCUGGGUUUGUGUUCUCUGGGGGGAGGACAGCAAGUGAACAACCUUUGGUUAAAAUGCCACCUGAGUGGGAAACACCUCCUGCUCCCUGAGCCUCGGGAAUUUAUCAUUUCUUUUGGGAACAGCCAUAACUUGCUGUUCUCCCCAAUGUUAGAUGGAAAUAAAGUUAGAAAAACUGUAUUUUUUCCUCAGAACAAUUUCUGAAGCUGAACUGACAUAAUUCUGGUCUGUCAGCUGAGCUCAACUCUCCAGUUUGUCAUCUGAAAAUGGAAGCAGGAAUAAUUUUAUGAAGUCUAAUUAGUGCAAAGUGCUCCUGGUAGCAAAGAGAGCUUUUGGUUCAAGGCUCUCAGGCCACUUUGGGCCAAGUACUCAAAUUACAGAGGGUUCAGCCAGAGAUCCAAGAGGUGCUGCUGUGCUUGUGAUAUCAGGGGAGAAACAGCAGAGACUGCAGAGUUACAGCCACCUGAAUUCACAUCAUAAAUAAAUCAAUAGGUGAGCAGGAGACAAAAAUCUGCCUGGUUGCAGAACUGUUGGGUCCCUGCUGGUCGUGUCAUGAUGGUUUCACCUCUGUGGCUUUUGGAGAGGAGACCUUCCUUCAGCUUGGGAUAUGCAAAGUAUUUUGUAAAUGGAGAGGAGAUUUUGGCAGCCAGAACAGAACAAACAACCCAGGACAGGUUCCUCUGCUCCCUUCAGUGGUGCUCAACCCACAGUGGCCACAGGGUUUUCACCCCAGCUUUAGCAGGAAUACAAGGAAGGAAGGGUAAUAAGGAAUGCUCCCAGUGACACUAACUCAGCUGGACAGCUGUGCUCUGGAGGAGAGGCUGAUCUCCUUGAUGCUGCUCUGCCUGCUACCUCAGGGCUGUACCCAAGGGAUGACAUUGCAUUUGCUGAGUCAGGAGCAAAGCCUGGAUUUGUCAGACAGAGGAGAUGGGCUUAGUCACCUCUCUGAGUUCAUUCCCAGUCCUCUUCUCAAAAGCACAGCCCCUCACAGAGCCCUUAAAUCCCGGGAAGAGUGGGAGCAGGGGGGCCCAGGAAAGCAGGAUGUGUUUAUCCCCCCUGCUCCCUUUUUGCCAGGUUGUCCUGCCAAAAUGCUGAGUCGCUGGGGCCACAUCUCCCACCUCUGAGCAGCUGUGGCAGCAGCAGAGGCUUUGCAGGAGCCCAGGGCUGACAGCUCCUGAGGCACUCACCCUGGUGUUCUGUGCCAGGAUGGAGCCUGUGGCAUCUGCAGGGAUGGUCUCCAAGCAGGAGACAAGCUGGGAUUUGCCACCUCGUGUCACGUUCACGUGUGGCUGUUCAAAGCUGUGUCCAUAAACUGCAGCUUCUGUGGACAGGUGUGGGUAGGCAGGACCAGAGCAACUUAUUCCCACUUCAACUACUUUGAGCAGGGUGUGGACAUGGUGCACAAAAUCAUUUUAAGUACAUUAGAAGAUUUUUCUAGUACAGAAUAAAAGAGGUUUUCUUCAGCCACCUGCACUGGGAGUUCAAGUGAAGGUCCUGUACUCUGCAAAGCACAGGCAGAACCCUCGUGGUUGCUCACUUAUCCCUCAGCAGAGAAGUGAGAGCAGACACAAUCCCUGCUUUUACCCCCUUGAAAGUCAUUCCCAAAGAACAUCCACGACCUUCUCAGAGAGAAGGGGUGGGCUUGAACCUCCUCAUCCCUUUCAUCCCUGUCACUCAUUUAAUCCCCAGUGUGAGCAGAGAGUGACAAAACCACACAGUGACAUCAGGAAUGGCACAAAAACGUUGCUGCAGAGUCAACCUCCUCCAGCAAGGGGCGAAAGGCGAAAUAAAAGCGUGAGGUGUUGAGGCACAAGCUGGACAGUGAAAUAGGUGACACCACAAGUCCUUCUGAAACUGAAUUGCCCAAAUGUCACUGGGCAGACACCAGGAAUCAUCACU